GCUACAGUGUGCAUCGAUCUUGCAUCUACGUGAACGAAGCAGCUCAUGUCACAAACCGCAGCUUCAGCAGCGUCUCUCUCUCUCUCUCUCUCUCUCUCUCUCUCUCUAGCACACACAGACACACUGUGUCUAUAUAUGUCGCUCUCUCCCUCCGUCUCUGGAUUGUGGGGUCAGGAGGAGUGUUUCCCCUCUCCCUCUCUGUGUCUGUGCUUGGGCAAUUAGCAUGAGAAGGGAGGGCACAAGGCUCUACUUUCUUGUACCAGUCUGAAUGAUGCACAUGGGGAGGUGAGAAAGGUACAGGUAGUAGUAGAGGAGGAGGAGGAGUAAAAAAAAAAAAGAAGAGAAGGGAGAGGGGCAUGGCAUGGUCCAUGGUAGGGAUCAGAGACAUGUCCAGAGGGACCGAGCCCACGUUGCAUGCACCCUGCUUCCCAUUUUGCACCGCUUUUAUCUCCUCUUUUCAUUUUUACCGCUUGUAUUGACUU
rnacentral:lncRNA from 1 species